rnacentral:rRNA from 1 species
UACGAAGGGGGCAAGCGUUGUUCGGAAUCACUGGGCGUAAAGCGCACGCAGGCGGAUGGAUAAGUCGGGGGUGAAAGCCCGGGGCUCAACCUCGGAAUUGCCUUCGAUACUGUCGGUCUCGAGUCCGGGAGAGGUGAGUGGAAUUCCUAGUGUAGAGGUGAAAUUCGUAGAUAUUAGGAAGAACACCAGUGGCGAAGGCGGCUCACUGGCCCGGUCCUGACGCUCAGGUGCGAAAGCGUGGGGAGCAAACAGG